CCUACGGGAGGCAGCAGCUAGGAAUUAUGCACAAUGGACGAAAGUCUGAUGCUGCGACAUCGCGUGAAGGAUGAAGGUUUUAGGACUGUAAACUUCUUUUAUCUCCGAACAAGUUCUGAGUGUAGGAGAUGAAUAAGUGCCUGCUAACUGCGUGCCAGAAGCAUCGGUAAUACGUGGGGCACAAGCAUUAUCCGGUUUUACUGGGCGUAAAGAGAAGCGUAGGCGUCUCUCCAAGUCUGAUGUUAAAUCUUCCCGCUUAACGGGAAAAUUGCGUCGGAUACUGGUGAGAUUGAGUCAAGUAGAGAAGAGAGGAAUUCCUGGUGGAGCGGUUAAAUGCGUUGAUAUCAGGAGGAACACCAAUUGCGAAGGCAUCUCUUUGGACUUGUACUGACGCUAAGGCUCGAAAGCGUGGGGAGCAAAACGGAUUAGAUACCCGUGUAGUCCACGCUGUAAACUAUCCCUAUUAGGUGUUUGCUCUGGUCUACGACGGGACGGAGUGAGUGCCGCAGCUAACGCAGUAAAUAGGGCGCCUGGGGAUUACGGCCGCAAGGCUAAAACUCAAUGGAAUUGGCGGGGACCCGCACAAGCAGUGGAGCGCCUGGUUUAAUUCGAUGAUCAGCGAAGAACCUCACCUAGGCUUGAACUGUAGCUGCACAUCCUAAGAAAUUAUGAAAUCCUUCGAGGGUGCUACAGAGGUGCUGCAUGGCUGUUGUCAGCUCGUGUCGUGAGAUGUAGGGUUAAGUCCCACAACGAGCGCAACCCCUAUCUGGUGUUAAAAUUUCUCCAGAGACUGCCCCGUCAUAACGGGGAGGAAGGAGGGGACGACAUCCAGUCAUCAUAUCCCUUAUGUCUAGGGCUACACAGACGCUACAAUGGCUACUACAUGAGAUGCCAAGCCGCGAGGCGAGCUAAUCUCAUCAAAGUAGUCUCAGUUCGGAUGGAG
rnacentral:rRNA from 1 species